rnacentral:miRNA from 1 species
AUCCAAAUCACUUGGGGAUCUUGUUAAAAUACAUUUUGGAUUCCUUCAGAGUGAGGCCUCAGAUUUUGCAUUUCUAAUAAGCUCCUAGGCCAUGUCAAG